GUUUGAUUAUGGCUCAGAUUGAACGCUGGCGGGAUGCUUUACACAUGCAAGUCGAACGGCAGCACGGACUUCGGUCUGGUGGCGAGUGGCGAACGGGUGAGUAAUGUAUCGGAACGUGCCUAGUAGCGAGAGGAUGGCCACGCCCGGCAGUAGCUAAUACCGCAUACGCCUUCGAGGGAAAGCGGGGACCUUCCGGGCCUCGCACUAUUAGAGCGGCCGAUAUCAGGAUUAGCUGGUUGGUGGGUAACGGCUCACCAAGGCGACGAUCCGUAGCUGGUUUUGAGAGGACGACCAGCCACUGGGACGAGACACGGCCCAGACUCUACGGGAGAGGCGGCGAGUGAAAUUUUGGACAUUGGAAACCUGAUCCAGCCAUCCCGCAUUGCGAUGAAGGCCUUCUGGUUGUAAAGCACUUUUGGCAGGAAAGAAACUUGGGCACGGGAUAAUACGAUGCAACUGACUGGUACACAGAAUAAGCACCGGCUAACUACGUGCCAACAACCGCGGUAAUACGUAAAGGGUGCAAGCGUUAAUCAGAUUACUGGGCGUAAAGCGUGCGCAGGCGGUUCCGGAAAGAAAGAUGUGAAAUCCCAGAGCUUAACUGGAACUGCAUUUUUUUUAAUACCGAGCUAGAGUGUGUCAGAGGAGGUGGAAUUCCGCGUGUAGCAGUGAGGAAAUGCGUAGAUAUGGAGGAACACCGAUGGCGAAGGCAGCCUCCUGGGAUAACACUGACGCUCAUGCACGAAAGCGUGGGGAGCAAACGGAUUAGAUACCCUAGUGGUCACCGCCCUAAACGAUGUCAACUAGCUGUGCGGGCCUUCGGGCCUUGGUAGCGCAACGCGUGAAGUUGACCGCCUGGGGAGUACGGUCGCAGGGUCAAACUCAAAGGUACAAUGAGGCACACAAGCAGUGGAUGAUGGAUUAAUUCGAUGCAACGCGAAAAACCUUACCUACCCUUGACAUGUCUGGAAUCCCGAAGAGAUUUGGGAGUGCUCGCAAGAGAACAGACACAGGUGCUGCAUGGCUCGUCAGCUCGUGUCGUGAGAUGUUGGGAUUAAGUCCCGCAACAAGCGCAACCCUUGUCAUUGAAUUUGCUACGAAAAGAAGGGCACUCUAAUGAGACUGCCGGUGACAAACCGGAGGAAGGUGGGGAUGACGUCAAGUCCUCAUGGCCCUUAUGGGUAGGGCUUCACACACGUCAUACAAUGGUCAGGGACAGAGGGUCUUCCAACCCGCGAGAGACCAAUCCCAGAAACCCGAUCGUAGUCCGGAUCGCAGUCUGCAACUCGACUGCGUGAAGUCCGGAAUCGCUAGUAAUCGCGGAUCGGCAUGUCGCGGUGAAUACGUUCCCGGGUCUUGUACACACCGCCCGUCACACCAUGGGAGUGGGUUUUACCCGAAGUAGU
rnacentral:rRNA from 1 species